rnacentral:snRNA from 1 species
GUGCUCGCUUCUGCAGCACAUAUACUAACAGUGGAACAAUACAGAGAAGAUUAGCAUGGCCCCUGGACAAGGGUGACAUGAAAAUUCAAAUUCAUUACAUGCUCCAUAUUUUU